rnacentral:rRNA from 1 species
GACGAACGCUGGCGGCGUGCUUAACACAUGCAAGUCGAACGGAAAGGCCCUGCUUUUGUGGGGUGCUCGAGUGGCGAACGGGUGAGUAACACGUGAGUAACCUGCCCUUGACUUUGGGAUAACUUCAGGAAACUGGGGCUAAUACCGGAUAGGAGCUCCUGCUGCAUGGUGGGGGUUGGAAAGUUUCGGCGGUUGGGGAUGGGCUCGCGGCUUAUCAGCUUGUUGGUGGGGUAGUGGCUUACCAAGGCUUUGACGGGUAGCCGGCCUGAGAGGGUGACCGGCCACAUUGGGACUGAGAUACGGCCCAGACUCCUACGGGAGGCAGCAGUGGGGAAUAUUGCACAAUGGGCGGAAGCCUGAUGCAGCAACGCCGCGUGCGGGAUGACGGCCUUCGGGUUGUGAACCGCUUUCGCCUGUGACGAAGCGUGAGUGACGGUAAUGGGUAAAGAAGCACCGGCUAACUACGUG